CCUACGGGAGGCAGCAGUGGGGAAUUUUGGACAAUGGGCGCAAGCCUGAUCCAGCAAUGCCGCGUGAGUGAAGAAGGCCUUCGGGUUGUAAAGCUCUUUUGUCAGGGAAGAAACGGCCUGUUCUAAUACAGUGGGCUAAUGACGGUACCUGAAGAAUAAGCACCGGCUAACUACGUGCCAGCAGCCGCGGUAAUACGUAGGGUGCAAGCGUUAAUCGGAAUUACUGGGCGUAAAGCGUGCGCAGGCGGUUUUGUAAGUCUGUCGUGAAAUCCCCGGGCUCAACCUGGGAAUGGCGAUGGAGACUGCAAGGCUAGAGUUUGGCAGAGGGGGGUAGAAUUCCACGUGUAGCAGUGAAAUGCGUAGAUAUGUGGAGGAACACCGAUGGCGAAGGCAGCCCCCUGGGUCAAACUGACGCUCAUGCACGAAAGCGUGGGGAGCAAACAGGAUUAGAUACCCUGGUAGUCCACGCCCUAAACGAUGUCUACUAGUUGUCGGGUCUUAAUUGACUUGGUAACGCAGCUAACGCGUGAAGUAGCCGCCUGGGGAGUCGGUCGNAAGNUUAAACGUUAAGGAUUGACGGNNGNGNGNGCGAGCGACGACGAGGAGGAGG
rnacentral:rRNA from 1 species